rnacentral:ncRNA from 1 species
UCUUAUUCAGAGUGGUGGAGGUACAAAGGAUCUGUGAAGCCACGGCAACCCCAUUUUAACAAUGGAAGGUGCCAACCUGAGCGAGUAAUCGAACAAU